rnacentral:lncRNA from 1 species
GCUAUAUUUCAAGAGCUAGACUGGAGCAGGGUGAGGGAAGUCAGGUGCGAGCCCAUGGCAGAGGCCAUACUCUGGCCCCUCGGUCCAGCCCCGGGCCACAGGAGCCCUGGACAUGCACGGGCAUGCGGCCAUCUCCCUUCUGCCCACUGAUGCAGACCAGAGGCCCAGCUGCCUGCAGCCACCGAGUGAGCCUCCCCAGGUUAUGUGGUCGGGGUGGGGCCACUGUAGGGGCAGCAGGAGGGCUGGGGGGAGGAGAGGAGCACCCCACCCUGUAGGGGAAACAGGGGCUCCUAAGCCUGGAACCAGCCCUCAUGCCCAGUGCAGAUUCCAGAAAGACCUCCCACGACUCGGUUUCCUCAUCUACAAAAUGGGGUGAACCAUGCUACCCGCCUAUCCAGAGAAUGAUUGAAAGGACCUCUGAAACUGUCUAGGAGGCCCAGGUGGACAGGUGCGGUGGGGCCAGCACCAGCCCCUCCUGAUCACUCCGUCUUCACACUGCCUGGCCUGAGGGGCCCUCCUAGACGACGAUCUGUUUGGUGCUCUUCCCUGAAAAACCCUUGUUUAGGGCAAGUGAGACUCUCCUUCCCCUGAACCCCACCAAAUGGGUGCCCCCUGCUCACCAUCUUUACCAACCUGGCUGCUUGGAGAACUCCUACUCACCCUGCAAAACUCCAGUGAGAGGUCCCCGAGGGAGGGCCUAGUUCUGAGGACCCAGGAGCAGACUGUGGAGGCGUGACUGGUUCCCAGGUCAGGGCCACCACACUUAUGCUGUCCCUGGUACUUGGUAGAUCAGAACCUGGGAUGCACUAGAGGGCAGGGGUGUUGUUGGGGACAGAGUUAGCAGGAAGGCUUUCUGACUCGGGACUUAAACCCGACCUUAGCAGUCAUAGGAGUUCAAGGAGGGAAGCAGGACAUGGGGGGCUGGGGCAGCAGUUUUAAAUAUGGCUGCAGGUCCUUGGUCCUCUUCCCACUGAGGGGUGGACCCUGUGGCCUCCCCUCCCAAAUCUGGGCAGCUUUAAGACAACUUCCACCAAUGGAUUGUGGCUGAGGUGCUGCCAGAAACUCCCAGAGCCGAGCCCUGACUUCUACCCCAGGUCCAGGUCACCAGGCUGAGAAGCAACAGCUGCCCUGAGACUCGGCCUGAGGAGCUCCGGGGGCUGGAGACACCCCGACCCAGCCAGUGUGGAGCAGGGCGGCCUUUUCUCCACGGUGCCUCUAAGGAUUCCUGACCCACAGAACUCCUUGUAACCAGAACAGGCCAAAGCUCCCCACUUCCUGGUGCUAACCCAGCCACACACCAGAAGCGGACUGGGGGGUCAGCCCCAGGAGCAGACCCUGCCGGAGGCCCCCUGCCUCCCCAGCCCCACCUGGCCUGCGCCGGGGCCUCGGGGCAGGAUUGCAGCGGGUGUGCAGAUGUGCAGCCUUGGCCCCUCCCCAAACUCCCGUGGACCUUUGCAGCUUGAACGACUGUGGACCCAGAGGCCUCAGGAAGAGUCCAGAUCCUGUGUGGCUGUCUGUCCCUCUGCGCCACUGCAUCUAACCCAUGUAACAGGACACUGAACCCAUAAUCUCUGUGGUCCCUCCUGGCUCCUGAUCCCCUUCACUGACAGUGUGUCCCCAAUGCUUCUGUGCCCAUAACACUGUUCCUGUGGCCAUGACCAUAAUUUCACCAUUAUAUGCUCAGCCCAGGCACUUGGUCAGCCCACAGGAUGGACACCAUUGGGGUUUUCUGAAUGAAAGUAUGAAAGAGUCCAUGAUGGAAUGAGCACAUGAACAAACAAAGACCUCUUGCUCUACCUGUUUGCCUUGGCAGUGUCCCCCACACACGGACGCCCUUCCCGUCCAGUAGCCUGGAGCACACACACUCACAGGCCUCGCACAAGGGAGCUCACCACCUGAGUACAGCCUGUUUUUGGUGGCAGCUGUGAUGAGGAGUCUGUCCCUGAGCCCCACAGGGAGGUGACUGAAGGAGGACAGAGGUGGAGGCAGAGGAAGGAGCCCUUGGUGCCCCUGACCCACAGCCUGCAGCGAGGGGCUGCAGAAUACCCGAAGUCCUCUCUGCAUCCAGCCAGGCAGGGUCCCAGGGCGGGCAGGGCAAGG